rnacentral:rRNA from 1 species
CAUGCAAGUCGAACGGUGAACACGGAGCUUGCUCUGUGGGAUCAGUGGCGAACGGGUGAGUAACACGUGAGCAACCUGCCCCUGACUCUGGGAUAAGCGCUGGAAACGGCGUCUAAUACUGGAUAUGUGACGUGACCGCAUGGUCUGCGUCUGGAAAGAAUUUCGGUUGGGGAUGGGCUCGCGGCCUAUCAGCUUGUUGGUGAGGUAAUGGCUCACCAAGGCGUCGACGGGUAGCCGGCCUGAGAGGGUGACCGGCCACACUGGGACUGAGACACGGCCCAGACUCCUACGGGAGGCAGCAGUGGGGAAUAUUGCACAAUGGGCGCAAGCCUGAUGCAGCAACGCCGCGUGAGGGACGACGGCCUUCGGGUUGUAAACCUCUUUUANCAGGGAAGAAGCGAAAGUGACGGUACCUGCAAAAAAAGCGCCNGCUAACUACGUGCCANCNNCCGCGGUAAUACNUANGGCGCANGCGUUAUCCGGAAUUAUUGGGCGUAAAGAGCUCGUAUGCGGUUUGUCNCGUCUGCUGUGAAAUCCGGAGGCUCAACCUCCGGCCUG